GCUUACACAUGCAAGUCGAACGAUGAACCGCUUUCGGGCGGGGAUUAGUGGCGAACGGGUGAGUAACACGUGGGCAAUCUGCCCUGCACUCUGGGACAAGCCCUGGAAACGGGGUCUAAUACCGGAUAUGACCGUCUGCCGCAUGGUGGAUGGUGUAAAGCUCCGGCGGUGCAGGAUGAGCCCGCGGCCUAUCAGCUUGUUGGUGAGGUAGUGGCUCACCAAGGCGACGACGGGUAGCCGGCCUGAGAGGGCGACCGGCCACACUGGGACUGAGACACGGCCCAGACUCCUACGGGAGGCAGCAGUGGGGAAUAUUGCACAAUGGGCGAAAGCCUGAUGCAGCGACGCCGCGUGAGGGAUGACGGCCUUCGGGUUGUAAACCUCUUUCAGCAGGGAAGAAGCGAAAGUGACGGUACCUGCAGAAGAAGCGCCGGCUAACUACGUGCCAGCAGCCGCGGUAAUACGUAGGGCGCAAGCGUUGUCCGGAAUUAUUGGGCGUAAAGAGCUCGUAGGCGGCUUGUCACGUCGGUUGUGAAAGCCCGGGGCUUAACCCCGGGUCUGCAGUCGAUACGGGCAGGCUAGAGUUCGGUAGGGGAGAUCGGAAUUCCUGGUGUAGCGGUGAAAUGCGCAGAUAUCAGGAGGAACACCGGUGGCGAAGGCGGAUCUCUGGGCCGAUACUGACGCUGAGGAGCGAAAGCGUGGGGAGCGAACAGGAUUAGAUACCCUGGUAGUCCACGCCGUAAACGGUGGGCACUAGGUGUGGGCAACAUUCCACGUUGUCCGUGCCGCAGCUAACGCAUUAAGUG
rnacentral:rRNA from 1 species